UGGCAGGCCGGGCGGCUUGGGGUCGCCUCUGUCCGGAAAUCCUCGUGAUGCCGGAGCCGUCAACCAGGGAGCGGCGUCUCCUCUGAGGUUUCCAGCCCUCUUCGGUUCGCUGAGGGUCCGUCCUCCGGGAUACUCUUGGUCGUGAACCGGGUCAGGCCUUGACGGGAGCAGCCCUAAGCGGUCAGGCGUAUGUUCGGAGGGUGGCGGACCUGAGACCUGAGGAGGUUUACUGGGUCUCGAGGAACGUCCAUCCCCGGGAGCCA
rnacentral:SRP_RNA from 1 species